GCAUUGACAAGAGUGAAAAAGGCUUUAUUCUUGUUUCUAUAUAUACUCUUAAUUAGGAGCUAUGUGACAAUAUUCUAUAAGACCUCUAAAACAUGUUGACUUUAUAAGAUACAUAUCUUAAUUUGCAAGACAAGUUUUUUUAUAUGUAUGCCACAUAGUUAGCUUGUUAUGCAAGCUAUUAAUAUGUAGUUAACUUGUUGUCACGAACACAAAAUACAGACUUGAAAUCUAACAAGAAGUUCAAGAAGAAGUGGCAGAACUAGAUUAAACAGAUGAGUACAAGAAUAACACUAGAAAGGUG
rnacentral:lncRNA from 1 species